UCUAGGACCAGUGCAGUGCAAGAAGGCAGCGGUGCUUGCAAGACUCCUUACAUCUUGGCCCAACACAAGCUGCUACCUCAUGAGAAGGAACUCCAGAAGUCCCUGAGCACCUCUCUCCUGUGGGUUUGAUUCCUCUAACACUUUCCUAUCUCUUGGUAGCUGAGAAAUUUCAGAGCAGCUGCUAGCCUGGGCACCUCAGAAGCCUGCUGCUCCUCAUAAUCCCAGGAAAUGAUGCUCUGAUUAAUGGGAAAGAAGGGUGACUGUGUUAAAUGGAGCUCAUCUUCACCUCAUCUGAAAGGAGGUUUCCCACAGUGUAUCUGUAUCAUGUAUCUGUGUUGGCAAUUUCUCACAUCCUACAAAGCUAAUGCCUCAGAAAGUC